rnacentral:tRNA from 7 species
UCCCUCUAGCUCAGUUGGUGGAGUGCGAGACUCUUAACCUUAUGAUCAUGAGUUCAAGCCCCAUGGUGGGAG